rnacentral:rRNA from 1 species
GACGAACGCUGGCGGCGUGCUUAACACAUGCAAGUCGAACGGAAAGGCCUGUCCUUCCUUGUGUUGGACGGGUACUCGAGUGGCGAACGGGUGAGUAACACGUGAGUGAUCUGCCCCCAACUUGGGUAUAAGCCUGGGAAACUGGGUCUAAUUCCCGAUAGGACUGCAGGGUGGUGCCUGUGGUGGAAAACGAUUUUCUAGUGGUUGGGGAUGAGCUGGCGGCCUAUCGGCUUGUUGGUGGGGUAAUGGCCUACCAAGGCGGGGACGGGUAGCCGGCCCGGGGGGGGCGGCCGCCACAGGGGGACUGGGAUACUGGCCAGACGCCUACGGCCGGCAGCAGUGGGGAAGAAUGCACAGUGGGCGGAAGCCUAAUGGAGGGACGCCGCGUGGGGGAUGACGGCCUUCGGGUUGUAGACUCCUUUCGACCGCGAGGAAGCCGCCUGGUUGGAAGGGUGGUGACGGUAAUGGUAGAAGAAGCACCGGCUAACUACGUG